UACGUAGGGUGCAAGCGUUAAUCGGAAUUACUGGGCGUAAAGCGUGCGCAGGCGGUUUUGUAAGUCUGUCGUGAAAUCCCCGGGCUCAACCUGGGAAUUGCGAUGGAGACUGCAAGGCUAGAAUCUGGCAGAGGGGGGUAGAAUUCCACGUGUAGCAGUGAAAUGCGUAGAGAUGUGGAGGAACACCGAUGGCGAAGGCAGCCCCCUGGGUCAAGAUUGACGCUCAUGCACGAAAGGCGUGGGGAGCCAAACGAGGAUUAGAAACCCGUGGUAGA
rnacentral:rRNA from 1 species